rnacentral:piRNA from 1 species
ACUUGUCAAAUGAGAUGAGACAAU